CAUAUUUGAGAUUAAAGAAAUUCACAUCUAGUAUUCUUUUAUUUUUAUUUUUACAAGAUUAAAUUAUUGUAAAAUAUCAUGGUUUUGGGGGCCAUGGCCUCCCUGGCCCCCACUGAAUUCGUCCCUGCUUGUCCAAAAGAUUGAGAAAGUUUGAUUGAAGGAAGUGAGCUGGUUGUGUUUAGUUGACCCUUCCCUUCAACUUUCUUCUUUCUUUUCUUAUGCCAAAGCCUCCGUUUAUUCAUCAUUUAGUUGUUUAUCUUCAUGUUAGGAAGCUCUAAGGACAGCAUCUGCAAUCAGCUUGGCCCCCAAGUUUUACAUAUAGCAUCAAAGGAAGCAAAAACAAAGAGGGAGAGUUGGACGGGUUUGGUAAAAACUAGCAACUAGCAACUAGUUUCUAGUUUUCCUUUGGAAAUCGAGACUACUUCUGACCCUUCACAUGUGCAAGGUGCCCGGCACUCUGCAUCAUUUCACAAGUUUAACUAUCAUCUCUUUAAUAUAUAAUGAACCAUACACUUAAAGGACACACAUACUUGUGGAGAGAGAGUUUCGGGCGAUAUGCACUAAGUCUUCUACUAUUUCUACUUCACUUUCUGUACUACAACCCGAGAGUUCCUUCUCACCUACUCCUCUACUCUUCUUUCUCACAAACACACAAAGUUCAGCGCAAACUCACCAUCCACAUUAUGAGAAAACGAGAGGGAGUCAACUAGUGGUUAGUAUAGUGAAAAUCGAGUAUAAGCCUCAAGGUUAUCAAGCUUGAGUGAGUAAAUAUGGAGUAGAGUUCCCUGAGUUGACGAAGAGCAGUCAACAACUUCGAAUGGGAUAGUAACGGUCCCAGAGCGAAGGUAAGAGCACUCUUACUAGUAGGUAUGCUAGAGUACUCAUGAUGAAGGACAUUUCGUGAAGCCUGAUUAUCUCUUGAGAUGAAGCCACAGACUGGCGUUACCUGCUAUGUUGUGAAGAUAACCAGUAGGCGCACACAAUCUUAAUGGGGAGCCAUGAGGUAUCAUAAGUAAGACAAAAAGACAAUACAUGAUGUCUUAUGAAUGAAAUUAAGUUAUGAUGUCUUAUGAAAGAAAGUAUGUUAUGAUGUUUUAUGAAAGAUGGUGAGGAAUCUAGAUAGGAGAAACAUAAAGUUCUGCAAAACAAGCUCAUAUCCAUGCAUAUAUGCUCAUAUUUAUGAUCAGUCAUGUUUAUGUUUUAUCUUUGUGUACGCUUGUGACAUAACUUAUUAAGAUUUUAAGAAAA